UUGUGGGUUAGGGAUAGCAGCGGCAUCCUUUGUCUCGUUCUUUAAAACGAGACAAAGAUAUAGCGGAUAGCCCGACCUCGU
rnacentral:sRNA from 1 species